CACAUCACCAUUGAAUAGUUUGUGACACUCUGAGCGGGCUUUAUCCUCAAAUCAAAAGUUUUUAUUUUAUUUUUUAAAUAAGUCGUAGCCAAUCAGACGUCUAUAACAAUUUCGGCCAAUCACAAUUGGGCCACAGUCCGUUACACUGGCGCGAAAUGUAUGAGAAGAUGGCGAACGUCAAGGCAGCAGGAGCUAACGUUAGCGCUCACCAAGAGUAAGUAUAAGUUGUUGAAUUUGAUAACAUGCACGAACUAUUAAUGAUUAAAUGCAGUUUAGUACUGACGUUUGUUCAGUAAGUUGGAUAAAUACUUAAUUCAUCUUCAGUAAUUUUGGUUCACAUGUUAAAAUGACAGUCAAAAUGAGUGUGCUGCCUGACUUAAAGAUGCUGCAGCCAGAUAACUUUAUUACAACAUGACAUUAUUAUUAUUAUUAUUUUUUUAUAUAUAACGUUAAUAUCCCCUUGUCUGUCUUGCUAUGACACAGAAACGUUUCAGAACGCUGGCCCCUCUUUGCCAUAAGGGAGGGGUCGUAACGUAGGCUAAUCGACAAGGAAUGCUUUUUACAUUUGAUUUUUUAAAAUACAAUCACGGUUUUUUUUCUAAAAUGCAAACUCAAGUUUUUUGUAUGCAAGUGAAAAUGUAUUAAGAAUGCUGUGCAAUGUGUUUUUGUCUUUGUUCUAGAAAAAAAAACACUUUAGAAAGUUCUGAUGACGAAACAGACAUUGAGAUGAAGCGACAAUAUGAAAAAGCAAAAAGACAAAAAAAAGUUGCAAAAGAGAGGAUCCUCACUCAGUUGAAGGAUACACUGAGGAAACCACUCCACUCCACUCCAUGCAGAACCAAUCCAUUACAUAGUGAGGAGGAAGUUGAAUCCGAAACGGUGGACACAAACGUGGAUUUGUUCAAUUACCCAGGGAAUUCUCAAUCAACCAGACAAAAAAAGGUUGGAAAGGAGAGGGUCCUCACUCAGCUGAAGGAUACACUGAGGAAACCACUCCACUCUGAUCCACGCAGAACCAACCCGUUACAUAGUGAGGAGGAAGUUCAAGCCGAAACCGUGGACACAAAUGUGGAUUUGUUCGAUUACCCAGAGAAUUUUCAACCAACCGAUACCUUAGAUGCUGCUGAGGCAAGUGGAGAGAGCGUGGAACAGCCAUUAUUUGUCAGUGGUGAAGUGUUGAAAGCUUUGAAAGAAAUUCCCACCUUAGUGCAGUGUGUCAAGGAACUAAUAUCCUCAAUGAACACAGGGAUCGAUACAGCAAGCACAAGCUCAGGGUCCUCCAGCUCAGCCCAAGAGAUGAUUUCUCUGGGCAACAUGGCUGUCCAAGUCAACAAAACCUGCUUUAGGAGAUUGAAUAGGAGCAGAAUGUCCCUGUUCACUCAAGAGUUAGCUGUUUUGUUGUUUGGGAGGGAGGUUCUGGGUUCAUCUAGCCUCACUGGGAAUAGGUCCCAAAAAAAG
ensembl:lncRNA